rnacentral:rRNA from 1 species
GAUGAACGCUGGCGGCGUGCCUAAUACAUGCAAGUCGAGCGAACUGAUUAGAAGCUUGCUUCUAUGACGUUAGCGGCGGACGGGUGAGUAACACGUGGGCAACCUGCCUGUAAGACUGGGAUAACUUCGGGAAACCGAAGCUAAUACCGGAUAGGAUCUUCUCCUUCAUGGGAGAUGAUUGAAAGAUGGUUUCGGCUAUCACUUACAGAUGGGCCCGCGGUGCAUUAGCUAGUUGGUGAGGUAACGGCUCACCAAGGCAACGAUGCAUAGCCGACCUGAGAGGGUGACCGGCCACACUGGGACUGAGACACGGCCCAGACUCCUAAGGGAGGCAGCAGUAGGGAAUAUUCCGCAAUGGACGAAAGUCUGACGGAGCAACGCCGCGUGAGUGAUGAAGGCUUUCGGGUCGUAAACCUCUGUUGUUAGGGAAGAAUAAGUACAAGAGUAACUGCUUGUACCUUGACGGUACCUAACCAGAAAGCCACGGCUAACUACGUGCCAGCCGCCGCCGUAAGAC